GCACAGACAACCCGGGAUUAAAACAUAUUGACCACAUUCAGACAAGGGGGGUUAAGCCACAGCCCACUGAGGUUGGAGAGCACUGUAGGAUCUGCAUAAUAAUAAUUUAUACCUCUUUUAUAAACAGGAUAUUAUUAUCAUUGAUUAUGUCAAAGUGUAUGUAUGAAUAAAUCUGAUUGAAUUUUUAAUGGCAGGUUCACCUUUUGAAGCCGGGUGAGAUUCCCAAAGUGUGCUGCGCACCCACCAAGCUCAGUCCCAUCUCUGUACUCUUCUACGACAACAACAACAAUGUGAUCCUAAAGAAGCAUGAAAACAUGGUGGUCAAGACCUGUGUAUGACUGUGACACCUGUGGUGGCCCAUCUAUUCUACAUCAUUUUAGUAAACUUCACUACCAUUGUUCCAAAAGAUAUACCUUGCAACCAGCAGUUGAAAGCAAUAAUCUGGCAAUAAGCAGAUAAAUAGUAUGUAUCUACACUGAACAUAAAAAUGAAUGCAACAUGCAACAAUUUCAACGAUUUGACUGAGUUAAAGUUCAUAUAAGGCAAUCAGUCAAUUCAAAUACAUUCUUUAGGCCCUAAUCUAUGGAUUUCACAUGACUGUGAAUACAGAUGUGCCUCUGUUGUUCACAGAUACCUUUUUAAAUGAAGACAGGGGCGGGAAUCUGGGGCGGCAGGUAGCCUAGUGGUUAGUGUUGGGCCAGUAAUCGAAAGAUGCUGGAUCCAAUCCCCGAGCUGACAAGGUAAAAAUCUGUCAUUCUGCCCCUGAACAUGAGAGGUAACCCACUGCUACCCGGGAAGGCCGUCAUUGUAAGUAAGAAUUUGUUCUUAACUGACUUGCCUAGUUAAAGGAUAAAAAGCCUUCUACUGUGAUGGAGAAUGCCUAUAUCCUCUGGGUUCCUGCAUGAACACCACUAACCCCGCUAUGAUCCAACUAGUGGUUCACCUUCUGAAGCCGGGUGAGAUUCCCAAAGUGUGCUGCGCACCCACCAAGCUCAGUCCCAUCUCUAGACUCUUCUACGACGACAACAACAAUGUGAUCCUAAAGAAGCAUCGCAACAUGGUGGUCAAGACCUGUGUAUAUCUGUGACACCUGUGGUGGCCCAUCUAUUCUACAUCUUUUUAAUAAACUUCACUACCAUUGUUCCAAAAGA